rnacentral:rRNA from 1 species
ACGCCACCUGGGGGAUGACUCGGCUUGGGCGCCGACGAAGGCCGUGGCAAGCUGCGAUAAGCUGCGGGUUGGCGCAGGCAGCCUCAUCCGCAGAUCGCCGAAUGGGACUUCCUGACGAGAGCUAAUAACUCUCGUCGCUCCCGGCAGGGAGCGGGAACGCCCCGAACUGAAACAUCUUACUAGGGGCAGGAAGAGAAACCAAACGGGAUUCCCUUAGUAGCGGCGAGCGAACAGGGAACAGGGCAAACCGAAUCCGCUUGGGAUGACCAAGCGGGGAUGUGGUGUUGCAGGGCCCGGCCGCUGCCUCGCUGCAGAAGCCGAAGGAAGCUGGAAAGCUUCGCCAGAGAGGGUGAUAGCCCCGUAGGCGUAACGCAGAAGGCAUUGGGCCGGUGUCCCUGAGUACCGUGGGUCGGAAAUCCCGCGGGAAGCUGGGAAACAUCGAUUUCCAACCCUAAAUACGUCCCAAGACCGAUAGCGCACUAGUACCGUGAGGGAAAGUUGAAAAGUACCCCGGAAGGGAGGUGCAAAGCGCCUGAAACCAGGUGGCUACAGCGGGCAUGGCGUGAAAGGAUGGAUCCUCCGCGAACGAACCCCGAGCGAUCGGGUAGUAGGAGCGGAGGGGACCAGCGUCAUGCCUUCCGUCUUGAAACACGGGCCGGGGAGUUUAUGCCUGUGGCAAGCCUAAGGCGCCGCCAAACGCCGGAGGCGUAGGGAAACCAACAGCCCGCAACGGGGAGCACCUACCCGCGAAAGCUUGUUCGAGGGCACCUGCUUCGGCGGGUGUCUAUGACCCUUCGGGGUUGUUCGAACGGCGAGUAACGGGCAAGGGACCCCGCGAGGGGCGAGGUCCUAACCGGCCUGUAGUCACAGGCAUAACACCAGAAAGCGGGCGAUCUAGCCCUGGGCAAGGUGAAGCCACGGGAAACCGUGGUGGAGGCCUGAAGCAGUUCUGAUAUGCAAUUCGUUUGCAUGACCUGGGGCUAGGGGCAAAAGACCAAUCUAGCCCGCUGAUAGCUGGUUCCCCCCGAAGUAGGUCGCAGCCUAGCCCGGCCCGAGGCCGUUGGUGGGGUAGAGCACCGAUUAGCAAGUACGGGGGCGGAAGCCCUCGCUUGCUUCUCGAACUCCGAACCUGCCAACGCCGUAGACGGCCGGAGACGGGUGCAAGCGGUUAAGCCGCUUGACCGAAAGGGGAACAACCCAAACCGGGGUUAAGGUCCCUAAAUGCUGGCUAAGUGUCAAACUAAAGGGCGUCCGCAGCCAAAGACAGCGGGGAAGUAGGCUUAGAAGCAGCCAUCUUCUAAGGAAAGCGUAACAGCUCACCCGCCGAGGUUGCGGGCCCCGAAAAUGGACGGGGCUCAAGCCAGCUACCGAGACCCCGGAGGGCGCCGACAAGGCGUCAUCUGGUAGGGGGGCGUACUGGUUGGGCGGAAGCCGGGCCGUGAGGUCCGGUGGACCGGCCAGUAUCGCAGAUCCCGGCGGUAGUAACAGCAAAGCCAGGUGAGAAUCCUGGCCGCCGAAGGGGCAAGGGUUUCUCGGCAAUGCGUCGUCAGCCGAGAGUCAGUCGGUCCUAAGGCCUAGCUUAACACGCGAAGGCCGAAAGGGAAACAGGUUCUUAUUCCUGUACCACGGAGGUACGCGCGGCAACGCAAGCCCGCCCUCCAACGGUUCGGGGUAGGUGGCGUAGGGUUUUCGCCCUAUCUAACUGUAUAACCCUGUGGAGGACCGUAACGGUGAGAAGCAGGGGAAAGCAGGAAUGGCCUGCCGUGAAAGGCGGGUGCCGCUGAUCCCUGGACCCACUGAAAAGGCAGGGCGGGAAGGAGCCUCCGUGCCCGUACCCAGAACCGACACAGGUGCCCCUAGCUGAGAAGGCUAAGGCGUGUCGGGUUACGCCAGGCGAGGGAACUCGGCAAAUUAGCCCCGUACCUUCGGAAGGUGGGGUGCCUUAGGUCUUCCGGUAACCCCGGGGGACCCGAGGUCGCAGUGACAAGGGGGGCCCGUCUGUUUAAUAAAAACAUAGCCGACUGCAAGGGCGAAAGCCUGUGUACAGUCGGUGAAUCCUGUCCAGUGCCGGCCUGUUAAGCCCCGGUUCAACGGGGACAAGCACCGGUAAACGACGGGAGUAACUAUGACUCUCUUAAGGUAGCCAAAUGCCUUGUCGGAUAAGUACCGACGUGCAUGAACGGAUCCACGAGGUCCCCGCUGUCCCCGCCUGGCACCCGGUGAACCCACAUCCUGGCGAACAGUCCAGGGACACCCAAAGGGAAGAGAAGACCCUGUGGAGUUUUACUGCAGCCUGCUGCUGGGCUGCGGGCAUCGAUGCAGAGCGUAGCUGGGAGCCGUCGAAGCCACCCUUGCGGGGGUGGUGGAGGCGCCAAUGGAACACCAGCCUUCGGUGUCUACAGCUCUCAGCGCCCCAAACGGGGCGUGACAACGGCAGGUGGGCAGUUUGGCUGGGGCGGCACGCCCGCGAAAAGAUAUCACGGGCGCCCAAAGGUCAGCUCAGCGCGGACAGAAACCGCGUGUAGAGCGCAAGGGCAAAAGCUGGCUUAACAGUACCCCGAAAAGCAACGGGUGCUGGUGCGAAAGCAGGGCCUAGCGAACGGUCGAACCCUCUCGAUGAGGGUCGGCCAUGACAGAAAAAUUACCCCAGGGGUAACAGAGUCGUCGCGGGCAAGAGUCCACAUCGACCCCGCGGCUUGCUUCCUCGAUGUCGGCUCUUCCCAUCCUGGGGGUGCAUUAGCCCCCAAGGGUAAGGCUGUACGCCUGUUAAAGGGGAACGUGAGCUGGGUUUAGACCGUCGUGAGACAGGUUGGAUUCUCUCUUUUGGGUGCGUUGGGUGUCUGAGGGUAGGGUCUGCUCGGUACGAGAGGAACGGCGGAUCGCGGCCUCUGGUGUACCGGUUCUCCGAGUGGGGAUUGCCGGGCAGCCACGCCGUGACCGAUAAGCGCUGAAGGCAUCUAAGCGCGAAGCGGGUCCCGAGA